UAGUGAGGCCAGACCUCUUUGUCAAAGCCUGAUCGCGUUGAUCUCUGAAGUUAAGCAAGACUGGGCCUGGUUAGUACUUGGAUGGGAGACUACUGGGAAUACCAGGUGCCACAGUGG
rnacentral:rRNA from 1 species